CUGCGGCGCUCUCGGCGCGGAGCCGCCGGGGAAGGAGCGACGGAGCGGCCUCAGAGAGGAAAAGCCGAUCGCCGGCAGCGACCAUCAGAGGAAAGGGGAAAAACAUGAUGCUCGGAGUGGGUGGAGUGAAAUCCAGAGAGGUCGCACCUCGUCCCCCCCAGAUGCUCCUCUGCAUCUCUCCAGCUGCGGAAGCCACGUGUUGUGGUGUCAAGCGUAAGCCCAGCUCGUGAAGGUGUUGAAAAUGAAUUGGUUACCUGGAAGUUGUUCUGGAGGGAAUUGCAACAGCAUUGUCUCCGGAAAGAGGAUGCGGGAGCAUGUCAAGGCGUGUAUUUUACAUUCGAUGAAAGCCUAUUAGUGCUAAGCCUUCACUAAAUGAAGAGACAAAAGGCUGAACGUUAACGUGAAGGGAAAGUUUCUCACUGCUGAGAAGCAGAAGUUCAUUACUCCUGGACCCUCAUUGUUACAUUCACAAAGCUCAUCAUAGGCAGCAGGGACAAGCGGGGCUGGUAUGUGAUAAACCAAUGCUUUGAGAAUAGGUAAGGUAUUCAAAUUGUGAUACAGCCCACUAAUGGAUGAACUGUCCUAAUAGAUAUUUCAUUAAUGACUACUUACAAGAACUGCUUAAUUGUCUUUAUUCCAGGAUAUGAGGUGCCUAAAGGAUAGAAUAAGCUUCUAAGAUAAUAGAAUAACAAAACUAAAAUGCAUUAGUGGAUGAUACCAAAUAUUACAGUAAAGCAAUGCAAAAGUAUUUUAAUGACAUACGUUUCUACACAAAGAGCAGCACUGACAGAACAAACAGUAAUUGUUAAAAUUAAAAUUACAAACAAUUUAUAAUGAGCUGGUUUUUAGGACCUCAUUUUUUUUUUAAAAACCUGAAAUUUUGACUGAAAUUGUACAGGCUGGCCUGAUUGAAAGCAGUGUUGUUAAUACUACAGUAGGUCUGGAGGUGGCUGGUUGACUUAGUUUGGGGGACAAGAAAACAGUCUUCUAGCUAAAAGAAUCCCACAGGCUUUUUUAUUUUUGAAACAUCAAGAGGCCAAACGUGUCACAGUUGGCAAUGGCAGUCUGAUGAGGCAUAUCCCUCAUGUGAAAGCUAUGUUGUACUUUAUUUCAGAUCUAAGGGGACAAAGCCUUGCAUGUUUGAGGGCAAUUGCACCAAAAUAUCAAGAUUCCAUGUUUAUGCCAUCACACUGCUAUCCAGCCUUAGCUUUUCCACAGCUUUGAGUUAGAGCUGAAGCACUUGAGGAGUCCUGGCAGUGACAAGUCACACCUGAUAGUUAACAGCUGUGUUAGCCCCUUUCUGGCUCUUGGGGCAGUAAGCCUGCGUCUGGAGCAAACCUUGUUGUACCAAAUCAAAGUUAACAUUGUCAUCUUAUGAAUCUGAGCCAACCUGUCUAUAUUGUUUAGGGUCUGUGCUCUCAGUUCACGUGGCUGACAGCAAGAGCCUUGUGUUACUGAGAAAUUUUUCUGGAAGAAUUGGGUAUUUUGGUAUAUAUCCCAGCUGCUUUGAGUGUGCUGGUGUAAAAUGCACUGUAAAUAUUUCCAGUAACAUACACAAAAUUUGGAAAUUAAGAUCAGUUUUAUUAUAUUGUAGGCUGCUAUUAUGCAAUCUGUACUUUUCAGCUGACCACUAAUGCUACUCUUUGACCUGCAAUUCAAGAACACAAUUUCAGUGAUUUGUCUUUCUCAGUAUUUAAACUCAGCUAAUUUUUGUGCUAUUUUAGUGCCAAUAUCUGCUCUAUUUCUAGUCCUGUGUCCUUAGUCUCAUCAACUAUACAGCUAAUACAUUGUUUAUAACAGAAAAUCAAGGUAUUUUACUUUUGCACCAGUAAAACUGAUAAAGAUGUAAACUCUUUUCUGACACCAGAAUUUCUAGCAGAACAGUGUGACGAGUUAGCUCUGUUUGUGAACUGUUCACCACCUUCAGCUCAAGCUUUUUUCCCUCUAGUUCUAACAUAUAUGUUCUGGCAGUAUGGGGUGAUCUACACUUAGUGCAGGACUAAAACAUUCUAAAGUUGACAGCAUCACAUGCAGAAAUGUUCAUUUGCACAUCAUCUAAAAUAUGACUUCAAGACAAACCACUAUUAUAUAAUAUCUGCCCACAUGCUUAAUGUUGUAUAAUUAUUUCCAGUACAUUGAGUAUCAUGUAUAAUUACUUCCAAUACACUUAAUAUGAGAAAAAGCUUGUAGGCAGUACUUUGGAUGAUGUUAUUAGUUUACUCUGUACCCAUAUCCCCAGCCCCAAGGCUUAACUACUUUAUCUGAACAGUCCAAAGGAAAUGGUUGAGGGAAAAGGCUGAUGUACCUGUAAUUUGGUAGGUUGAUCAGAGGAGAAUAUAUGACUUGCAACCUGCACAGCAAGGAGCUAUUGACAUGUUCCUGCCUUUCUCGACAGAGGAUAACUCACUUUGUGUUUUGUAUAGCUGCAAAGCUAUUCAAAUCACCUGCCACUAAAUCUAAAUAGAGUAGCAUGGCUCUUUGAGAAUAUACCCUCUGGGAGAGAUGAAAGAUAUGUAGACUCAUACGUGAGGCCACUCCUACAGAAUCCUUUCUUUUACCAGCUGUCAUUAAAAGUAAUAAGUAAUGAGCAGACGUCUUGUGAUGAGGUUGUUAUUAGAAGGAAGAAAGGAAGAUUUGUUUUACUUCAUGAAUCAUCUGCAAAAUAAUUUUAAAGCAGCUUUGUUCAAGGUGAUUUUUGAGCUGUCAUUGCUGUAUAUUGUGUUAUUCUCUGAGUAAAAUGAAAAGACUUCAAAUGAAACAAUCUGCUUCCAAAGUUUUGAAAUUGUAUGUUUGGUAGGAAAAAAAAAAUCCUUUUUUUUUAAUAAAAUUUUUAUGCUUCCAGGACUGUAAUUUAUGAUA